rnacentral:rRNA from 1 species
UACAGAGGGUGCGAGCGUUAAUCGGAGUUACUGGGCGUAAAGGGCGCGUAGGUGGUUGUAUAAGUUGGAUGUGAAAUCCCUGGGCUUAACCUAGGAACUGCAUUCAAUACUGUAGAGCUAAAGUACUGUAGAGGGUAGUGGAAUUUCCGGUGUAGCGGUGAAAUGCGUAGAGAUCGGAAGGAACACCAGUGGCGAAGGCGGCUACCUGGACAGAUACUGACACUGAGGCGCGAGAGCGUGGGGAGCAAACAGG